rnacentral:sRNA from 1 species
UUCUACUACAACCUUUAAAGAAAAAAAAGUUUUGGGCGGUAAGUUUAGAAAAAAAAACUACAACACAAUUGGCAUAUAUGCUGACGCUUUAAAAAAAAUUAAAGCUGUAAAAUUGACUUACAGCCCAACCAAUCAUGCAUUUAAAAAAACACU